UUGGAUGAGUUGCGAACGGGUGAGUAACGCGUAGGUAACCUGCCUUGUAGCGGGGGAUAACUAUUGGAAACGAUAGCUAAUACCGCAUAACAAUGGAUGACCCAUGUCAUUUAUUUGAAAGGGGCAAAUGCUCCACUACAAGAUGGACCUGCGUUGUAUUAGCUAGUAGGUGAGGUAACGGCUCACCUAGGCGACGAUACAUAGCCGACCUGAGAGGGUGAUCGGCCACACUGGGACUGAGACACGGCCCAGACUCCUACGGGAGGCAGCAGUAGGGAAUCUUCGGCAAUGGGGGCAACCCUGACCGAGCAACGCCGCGUGAGUGAAGAAGGUUUUCGGAUCGUAAAGCUCUGUUGUAAGUCAAGAACGAGUGUGAGAGUGGAAAGUUCACACUGUGACGGUAGCUUACCAGAAAGGGACGGCUAACUACGUGCCAGCAGCCGCGGUAAUACGUAGGUCCCGAGCGUUGUCCGGAUUUAUUGGGCGUAAAGCGAGCGCAGGCGGUUUGAUAAGUCUGAAGUUAAAGGCUGUGGCUCAACCAUAGUUCGCUUUGGAAACUGUCAAACUUGAGUGCAGAAGGGGAGAGUGGAAUUCCAUGUGUAGCGGUGAAAUGCGUAGAUAUAUGGAGGAACACCGGUGGCGAAAGCG
rnacentral:rRNA from 1 species